rnacentral:rRNA from 1 species
UUUGGUGAUAUUAGCGGCGGAGGUACACCCGGUCACAUCCCGAACCCGGCAGUUAAGCCCGCCAGCGCCGAUGGUACUUGGGGGGAAGCCCCCUGGGAGAGUAGGUCAUUGCCAAUA